rnacentral:lncRNA from 1 species
AAACAACACAAUAAACCAUCAUUUAUUAUCAUUAUUCACGUUCAUCAGAGUCCAUCUAUUCCGUCAGUUUUCCGGGCCGCCCGUAUCCGUGGGCACGGCUAGUAUACCAGAUUUAACACUCUGCAGAGGUUGUACAUCUUUACCCAUGAGUCGUGAUUUACCCUUUCGCCCGAGGUCAUGAGUCUCUUAACCCCCUUCCAAGGGAGGUCGGCAGGGAUCACUAUGAAGCCUUUCAAAGGUUUCGUCUAACAAGUUAGGGCCAUUAGAUUCACUCGGCAGGCAGAUAUAGAGCCCCCCUUCCAUGGCACAUAACCCGCAGCCUAUACACAUGGAUAGAGGCCACACUAUACCCAACGUGUCUAGCCAUUCUUACGCCAUUUAAGGUAACCGCUAACAAGCUAGAAAAAGAUCCUCAUACUGAGCUAAAACCAGAGCCAUGUAGCCCUCAUGGUUGUACGAGUUGUCCCAGAUUUUGCCAAGGGAUAAGUCCUUAUGGAGGGUCAAGAUCAAUCUAGCGAAAGCCAGAGUUCUUUCCACCCUUUAUAUUCAAGUUGUUAGAAAGCUUAUUUUAUUGUUUAUUGUAUAUCCAAAUAUUCUUGUUACAAGAUCAUGGAUUAAUAAUCAAGCACUAGCAAAAACUACCCAAAUGCAUAUCCAAAUAGGUAUCAAGGAAUUUAAGAUAGCAAGCAACUAUGAUUUCGCUAGGGUUGUCAAGGUGAACACAUGCAUAUGAUAUAUGUGUAAUUAUAAGUGUAUAGGUAACAAGGAUGAUCCCCAGUUAUACUUGCCUUGAUCAAAGCUCUCCUGAGCCUGCUGGUCUUCAAAAGCUUGGUCUUGAUCACCAACGUACAGCUCACCGUCUAAUCCCAAUCAUCAAUCAACAACACGCAAUCCAAUGUAGACAAUCAUACACGAAGCAAACAAGAUAUAAUUAGAACAAUACACCAAACAGUGGUAAAACAAAUAUAAAAGUUUAUCAAAAUAUUCUACGCAGCACUACGAUCACAUAAACGUAAAGUUCACGAAAAUCGGAAUUAAAACGGAGAAGUUAUGCAUUUUCCAAGAUUUCCUAUAGAGAAAUAAUUAAUUAAAUAAUACCAGGAAAUUUAAAUGUUUAAAAACAGUAAACUAACAUUUCUAUCAUGUAGAUCAUGUAAUUACGAACCUAACGGAAUUUGAAUGGACAAAAACGGAGUUAAAAUGAAUAUUUUAUGAGCAUUAUAAAAUCAGUGGCAAUUCUGUAAUUUCUGCAAAACGUAUUUGAACUCGGCCGACAGAAAAUACGCUUUCCCACUUCGAAAACGGAAUCUUGCUCAGGGCGCCAAGGACCGCGGGGCAAAUAUGGAAAACUAUCAGGGACUCUUUACGAAGAAUUGCAGCGAAAGGGUAUGUUUUCAAGAAAGAAAAACACCGGGAUGAAGAGGAGCUCACCACGAUCUCGUCUAAGCAAUUGGUUGGGUCCGAGAGAGAACGGAGAGGGCUUGCCGCGGAGAGGAACAAGAUCGGCCAUGCCGAGAUCCGAACUCCAGAGAAUACGGCGACUAGGGCUCGGUUUCACAACUUGGAUGCAAAGAGGGAGCCGCGGGGUUUACCUAGGGCUUUAUAGGGGCUUGAUUUGCACAAAAGGCAAGAGAAUCCCGCUGUUCCCGGGAUUGAGUCGGCCGGUUUGUGAGUCCGGGUCGACUACGAACAGAGGUAGGGGACGAGCGCUGUCCCGCAGGCCCCACUUGUCAUAGAAAGAAGGGUGGGACCCGACUGUCAGCGGGUCAAGAAGAGGGGAAGGAAAAUCGCGCCUGGUAGCCUGACUGCUGGGCCGCACAGCGCGUUGGGCUGGGGCGGAGGAAUUGGGCCGGGCGAGGGAGAAGAAUGGGAGAGGGGUUUUUUUUUCCUUUUCUUUUCUUUUGUUUUCUUAUUAUUCCAAAGCUAUUUUCACAUCAUUUCAAAACAUUUUGAAUUAUUUUAAAAUUUUGAGUUCAAAUACACUCAUCACAAUAAAUAGAAUGCAAAGGCAUGCAUGCUCAAGCAUGUUUUCUACGUCCUACGAUGAAUUUUAGUUUAAUGAAAAAUAUUAUUUUCCUAUGUUUCAUGAGCACAAAAAUUCAUAAUUAAAUCAUUUUAGCUCUAUUUCCCAGAAAACAAUUUUUAGGGUGUUACAAAUCUACCCCCCUUUAGAUGAAUCUCGUCCUCGAGAUUCGGAAGAUGGUGAUCAAAGAGAUGUAGAUACUCCACUUUUGAACCUUGUUCACUUCCUUGAGUAGCUCUUUCUUAGUAACCAUUCUAUGGCCUUUGUCACUCCGAACAUCUCCAUCAAUGGUUCCCAAGAGUUCAGCAAUGUAAUUCGUAUAGAUAAGGUUUUUUUUUACUCAUAGCUUAUCUGGGGUAUAUGUUCCUUGCCCAUCCAUUUAAAACCUGAUGCAUUUCCAACCAUGAUAUACUCAACUUUCUCCUUAUUACUUUCAUCGUCCCAUUUCACAAUCAUCCUUCUCCUUCUUCCAAAGUGAGCCCUAUCAAUUUCCAAAUUUGUAGUGUUAGUAAUAUCACUCAACCUCCGCACACAAAUCCUCAAAUCUAGGUGUUGUCCAAACUUUUCCUAGCACACUCUUUAUGAUAAGAGCUUUGGCAUCGACAUAUACUUCUCCAUAAUCCCACCACUAGAGACAACAUAUUCAAUUUAGAGAACUUAGUUCACUCAAAACUUACUAGCCAUGCAUGGUGAAAUAAUAAGGUUUCAUAACUCUCUGAAGAAUCAUCCGUAGAUGUUCGAUAUCUCUUUCCAAUAUCAUUAAUGUCAUCUUGUCUUGGGCAUGUUGGAAGUUGAACCUCCAUUUGAUAAUAGCUCAAUGUGGAGACCAAUCUUGACGAAUACUUGAACUCAUUGGUGCAAAGAGUAACCACUCUUGAGCAAAGAUAUUUGUGGUUGAUAGGGAGUUGUCCACCAAAGGAAUAACAGAUCUUCCAAAUAAAAUACUUGAACACAUAAAACCUUUGUCUUGCAACUUCUAUAGCUUGGCUACCCCCCUUAAGAUGAGAUCAGCUAGGGGAUACCAAGGAUGGCUUGAACAUUCUUAUGAGUAGGUUAACUACCAUAAAAGAGCUUCUUAUAUCCAAGAGAACUCAUAUACAUAGACAAGAACAAGAAAUCAGAAAUUCCUCGCAAGAUGAAAAACAGCAACUUAGUAAACCAGCUACAACUAAUGUUCCGUCAACCUGAUAGAGUUAUGGUCUACACUGCUGGAAAGCUUAUCAAAUUCUCCACAACUUUCUUGUUGAUCACUUCCCCAUAUUCGGGCGUUAAAAUAAGGUUUGAUAAUCCAACAUAAAAUCUGUCCAGGAAGUCUGACAACACAGACACAGCAUCUUGAAACAGUCAUAUCAUGAGCCAUAGAAACCAUAUAAUGACGAUCCUUACAAUGUUGAAAAGCUUAUGAAAUCCUCUGAAACUUUUGUAUACAACUUUUUCCCAGAUUAUGAAGUUAAUUUGGCUGAAAUUAGGAAAUACUAGGACUGUCCAGACUUUGAAAUAGAACAGAAACAUCCAAUUGCAUCUGUCAUAUCUCAGGAUCUACUUAUCCAAAUAAGUUCUAGCUUACACCGUUGGAAAGCUUAGAAAAUUGUCUACAACUCUUCUAUAGAACACUUUUCCAAAUUCUAUAGUUAUAUUUGUCUAGAACAGUAGGCAACCGAACUGAUCCAGAUUCCUGACAGCACAUAUGUAUCAUCUUGUGAUUUUUGUAACUUCCAAACCAUAAUAGAUAUGAGGGUGAUCCUUGCGGUCAGAGAAAUAUCUUGAAGUCUAGUUGUUCCCAGAAAAAUUUGAUAGACGUUGCAUGAUCAGAACUUGAGAUACACCAGAAUUAUUGCAGUCUGCUUCAGAAAACAGCAAAGGAUAGAAACAGGAUAUAACCGAACCCAACUACUUAUUUCACUACUCCUUAUGCCUUAGGCCUAUAAACUAAAUGAUAUCGUGGAGAAAACCCACAAGAUCAUUGCACUCAUUACAAAGAUCCAAAUCAAUCAUAAGCAUAAUAACAAACCAAACCAAGCAUCAAAGGUUCACACUUCAAGCAUUAACUCAACUUGCGGUACUAUCGUUCUCUUCCUAUUAAGGGCAAAGAUCCUAAAACUUAUAUUUCAAGGACACAAGAAGGUGGUAAGAAAAGGUUCUAAUAGCAUACCAAAUCAAGGAGUGAAGGUGAGAGCAAGUACUCUUAAAAUAAGCAACAAGGUAGAGAAAUAGCAAGGAUAGGGAUAUAGUAUGGAUGAAAAUAUCAAGGUUUAUAGAGCAAGGAUUUUAUGACAAUUCCAAAACCUUAAGAUGACCAAUUUCUAACUAGGCUUGCGUCCUACAGUCAGCAUUGCUCUGAUACCACUUUGUAAUACCCGAUUUUAAGGACAAAACCAGAUAUACACCAUAUGUGAGUUUUAAAAGCCAAAUCUCACAUAUAGCUACAAAAUAAGAGGUAAUAUCAAAAGACAAUGCAUAAAUUAUAUAACGAACGUAGUAUAAAAGAUAUAACCUUUGAUAGCAAACAGCGGAUAGACAACAUCAAACUUCGGGUAUUAACUUCUCUCCACAGGAUCCAACUGACUGGUUGAGCACAAGCCUAACAUCUCCUGAAGUGUGGGGGAAAUUGCAAGAGUGAGCACAUAUCGUACUCAACAAGUAUAACCAGGGGUUCAUGAGGCUCAAAUGGCUGACACUGGUUUAACUGCAUUUAGCUUUUAAUAGUGGAUAACAUAUUUAAUCAUUGGAUAGCAAUAUCAAGGUAGCAUACUAAAUCCCAUAACCACAUGACCAAUGUAUACAAGAAUUAAGAAUAUCACAUAUAAACAACACAAUAAACCAUCAUUUAUUAUCAUUAUUCACGUUCAUCAGAGUCCAUCUAUUCCGUCAGUUUUCCGGGCCGCCCGUAUCCGUGGGCACGGCUAGUAUACCAGAUUUAACACUCUGCAGAGGUUGUACAUCUUUACCCAUGAGUCGUGAUUUACCCUUUCACCCGAGGUCAUGAGUCUCUUAACCCCCUUCCAAGGGAGGUCGGCAGGGAUCACUAUGAAGCCUUUCAAAGGUUUCGUCUAACAAGUUAGGGCCAUUAGAUUCACUCGGCAGGCAGAUAUAGAGCCC